GAUGAACGCUGGCGGCGUGCCUAAUACAUGCAAGUCGAGCGAACGGACGAGAAGCUUGCUUCUCUGAUGUUAGCGGCGGACGGGUGAGUUACACGUGGAUAACCUACCUAUAAGACUGGGAUAACUUCGGGAAACCGGAGCUAAUACCGGAUGAUAUUUUGAACCGCAUGGUUCAAAAGUGAAAGACGGUCUUGCUGUCACUUAUAGAUGGAUCCGCGCUGCAUUAGCUAGUUGGUAAGGUAACGGCUUACCAAGGCAACGAUGCAUAGCCGACCUGGGAGGGUGAUCGGCCACACUGGAACUGAGACACGGUCCAGACUCCUACGGGAGGCAGCAGUAGGGAAUCUUCCGCAAUGGGCGAAAGCCUGACGGAGCAACGCCGCGUGAGUGAUGAAGGUCUUCGGAUCGUAAAACUCUGUUAUUAGGGAAGAACAUAUGUGUAAGUAACUGUGCACAUCUUGACGGUACCCAAUCAGAAAGCCACGGCUAACUACGUG
rnacentral:rRNA from 1 species